rnacentral:snoRNA from 10 species
GAGACUAUACUCUCAGUGAUCACUUCCCGAGUUCAUUACUAGAGAAGUUUCUCUGAACGGGUAGAGCACUGGGAACCAGGAGGGGGAGGUGAGCGUUUUCUCCUGAGCAUGAGGUGGCUUUAGGUAUUGCUUCAUGGCAAUUUGGCAACUGCCAUGUGCCAUUGAAGAUGGUUCUUAUCUGCCUCUGGAAGAGGAAGAGGACACAAUCUGAGUGG